UAAUCAAGACAUUUAUGAAAUCAGCUACUCUAUGAAAUAUUUGAGAGAAUUUUGAAUUGAUGAACAAACAUGGGUUUUAGUUAUGUGGAAGAAUCCUGUGAAGAUUUGGUUAAAAAUAUCUCCUCUUCAGUGAAAUGUGCUGUCAAAAGAAGAUCAGGACUUCACAAUGUGAAUGCUUAAUAGCUGACUGGAAUUAAGUUGUUAGAAAUUUUUUUUGACUUGGUGGGUAAGUGACAGCUUUCAGAAAAUAUUUUAAGUCUUUUGGGAAUAUAUGAUAUUUUAAUUCUUUUUCAAAACAUUCUGUUCAAUUAGGUCAAGAAUAACUCAACAAAAGAUCACUAACAUUUUAAGAUACUGUUGCAUUAUUUAAUAAAUAAUAGGAGUCAGAUAAAUUGAGAUACAAUAAUUUAUUGUUGCAUAAUUUGCUAAUGUUACUGCAAAAUACUGAAGUUCUAACCAUAUUUAGUUAGAAGCAAAAUCUAUUGAGUUCAGUAGAGCAUAUACCUGUAGAGUUGCAAUUUUUAAGACAGAAAGUGGAUCAGUCUAAUCAAGUUACUUGCAUGGAUUUGAGAACAGUUAAGUGUUGUCCCAAUUUAUUUCCAGGAAAAGUAAGGCUAUCAAUACAGUCCUAUGCAGGUUUAUUUAAGAAACAAGUUCAACCAAUUGUGAAUGGGAAUGUAGUUUUUCUCUUACUUUCAGAAUAGGCACUUACCUGGAUUUUGAAAUUUGGAUAUAACUAGGACUUUUGGUUAUGUAGUUUGUAUUCAAGGAAUAGUUUUGUAUGCAACAAUGUUCUAUGUACUUCAGUGAAAAAGCAUAAUAAAUGCCUUUCAAAUGAA